CGCAAGGUAGGAGUAAUUGGUCAACUCAUCAGGCUCAUUGUUUGAUAAUUACAAGUUCGAAUCUUGUCCCCGCCU
rnacentral:tRNA from 1 species